ACGCAAUGCUGGAGAUUAAUCACAUGAGAUAACUAACGUUAUGUUAUGGAUAAAGAACGCUAAUUUGACAAUUCCUCUAACAUUAUAGGAUUUAAUAUACAUGUUUGGACAUGUCGACGUUACGAUGAUAAAUGCCCAUAAAGGCAUGUAUGAGAUAUCUCGGCCCUAAGCGGUUUAUAUGGCUUCUCAUGGUGUAUCUUGGCCCAGACAUGUGAUGUUCCAGCGUGAGAGUCCGAACCCGCUUUAAGUUUAGAUCCAAUUCCAUAUUCCUGUACUUUGCCGCCAAUACCCGAGAUGUAGUAUUCAGAAUGUACAUAGCCCCCUUAAGAAUGAGGCCUUAAGGGGCGAAGUGCUUUAAGAGUAAUGUUGUCCUAACCGCCAAGAGAGUCCCAAAUCUACCAAGAUGUUAUACCAAGUCUUUUAUCGUUACCCUUCUCAGCAUAAAAUACAUCCCAUUUUUGGGUAAUUCGUGGUUACCGGGAUACGUUCUCUAAUCCUUAUUCCAUUCUCACUAAGAGCAGUGUAGGUCGAGAUUGAUACUGAGAUACGUUCUCUAAUUCUUAUUCCCUUCUCUCAAUCCUUCUCCUUUCAAAAAUGUGCUUAGCCUUCUCUCUCAUUCUCUAUUCAGCAGCUUUGAAUUCCUUUGUUUUUCAAGGUUGCAUCUCCCCAUCCUCCAUCCAGGUACGAUGAUUCUUUUCUUUUCUUUUUUAAUCAUUCCCUAAUUUAUUCCAAUGGUUCUGAUUCGCGAGUGUGAUGAGUGGGGGAGGGGGGUCAUUUCGCCUAAAAAUGUAACCAAGAGGCAUGCAUUGUGGCAACAGUGCGUGGAAGCUUCUAGACGCACCAUCGGGAAAGUAGAUUGAAAAUUUAUGUGGAGAGAGAGAGAGGUUUCAAUCGAGAUUGUCAUGGAGCUCCCCACCGGCUCUUUUAGUGACGAGGUUUUGAGUUACGACUAGGUUUUCCUUAAUGACCCCUAGGUGACCAGCUUCCGAGAUCAAGUGAGUUGUCUAAUACUAGGGAUAAGGUCGAUAUUAUUUUGGAGCCUUAUGUCUUAAGGGAGAAAAUUUUCAUGUGGCGGCCGCCCAGAGUAGCCGAUGAAUACUUCUUGUUAUAUUAUCUUCACCAAUGAUUUUGGCGUGGGUAUCCUAUUCUCCAUAUUUUAGUCCGAACUCCCAAAAACUCAACACCGCUCCUUCCCAACUUCAUCCUAACAACUGGGUUUUUGCUCGGGUGUUUGAGGUGAUAUGUUUUGGCCUCAAUAUCACGCCUACCAUUAACAUCUUUUUUUUUCAUUUUACGAAUCUAUAUGCCCGUAUAAGGAGGGUUGGGUCUAAGUGAAUGUCAUGCACGACCGGGCCAUCCUCUCUCCUUACAUGUAGCUAAGGGGCAACACCUAGUGUCUAGAGGUUAUCUACGAGGAAGAUGGGACGUAUUGGUUUCCUUUUCACUGGACCAGUAACCCGGUUUCAAUCAUGUGGUAUGAUCCAUACAAAUUGAGUCCCACCGAAAGAGAGGCGGUCUAGUUUUUGGAUACCUUCUCGACCAUUUGGGUGUGUGUCUUGCUCAAGUAGGAAGGAGACCUCAAUAAAUAAGAUGAACAAUGUCACAAUGGCUGAGAAGAAAUCAUUGAUGGCUUAAGCAAGAGCUCUCUACUGAGAUAUUCAUCCCAUGCCUCACAAUGAUCUCAUUGGAGUUCAAACACAGGUUGUAAAGAAGAGAAAUAAUGCAGAAGGCAUUAUAAUGAAUGACGUCCUAUUCACCAAUCAAAACACUCAUGGGACCUCCAAAUUGCCUCCUAAAAAUAAAAAUAAGGGAGAGGAAGGCAAGUCCAGUAUGGGUGACAAGACUCCAGUCCAUAUUAGGACCGACCUUUGAUAGCUCAAGUUUUGGGGUCGGCCUUUGAUGGUCUGGGUUAUUGUACAAGCAUCUUCACGCCACUCAACAUGUUGAAAAAGAUACUACCGUGGGUGCCCAAAGGAUAAAGGACGCCACUAAAAUUAGGAUUUCAUGCCACUAAAAUUAGGAUUUCUUAUCCUUGUAUAUCUUAGAAAUCCUUAAGUCUUAAAAGAGUCUAAUUGUGUUGUAUUCUGUAUACACCUCUGAUUGUGUAUCAACUAUAUUUUCCCAACAAUCAUUUAUCUGCUAGGUAGAUUGUUAGAAGUCACUUACUAAGUGUUUGAGCAUUUGGAGUCUUUUGCUUAUGUGCUUGAGCAAAUAAAUUCACUUGCUUGUGUGCUUGAGCAAAGAAGUCUUUUACUUGAGUGUUUGAGCAAAAGAAGUAUCUUGCAUG